GCCCCACUCCCACUAUCAUUUUCUAUGUUCAGUGGACCGUGAAAUUGGGGUCAAAACUUUAAUUUGGAAUUAAAACUAGAAAGAUCAUAUCAUAGGGAACAUGUGUACUAAGUUUCAAGUUGAUGUAACUUUAACUUCAUCAAAAACUACCUUGACCAAAGACUUUAACCUGAACUUUGCACUAUCAUUUUCUAUCUUCAGUGGACCAUGAAAUUGGGGUCAAAACUAUAAUUUGGCAUUAAAAUUAGAAAGAUCAUAUCAUGGGGAACAUGUGUAUUAAGUUUCAAGUUGAUUGGACUUCAGCUUCAUCAAAAACUACCUCGACCAAAAACUUUAACCUGAAGCGAACGGACGGACGCACAGACGAACGGAGGCACAGACCAGAAAACAUAAAGCCCCUCUACUAUCGUAG
rnacentral:lncRNA from 1 species